AUUCAACACAAGAGGGUCUCCCUGUCCAGCCUUUCCCUCCCUCCCUCCAUCAGGCCUCAGCUGAGCCCAAAGUGGAAACCCCGUUUCCUCUGGGAUCUGAGAAGUCCCAAUUCUUUCUUCCAACUCUGAAUCCCAGGCUUAACUAGACAAUGGCUUUUGGAUCCUUGUGCCAGCCCUUCCACCCCCCCAUACACACAUAAGUCCAGCCAAGCACCCCUCAGAAUUCAAGCCCCUCCCCUAAGACUCACAAUCAGAAGGGACUGCCUAUGCCUCUGAGCCCCACCCCAAAACCAAGCACGGCCUGGAAGAAAGCCAUCCUGGAGCAUGCACACACACACACAUACGCAAGCACACACAGCCAGACGUGCAGAAACAGGAAUGGUUACACAUACACGGUCCCGGAGCACAGACCUGCCCGUGGACACACAGCCAGCCAGACUCGCAAACAGGUCCUUGCAGCUACACACAAACCAUCCUCAACCGUGAGCCCGCACACCACGGCAUGCGUGUUCAUGCAUGUGCACAAACAUCCACAGAGCCCUGCUCCCUUGGUCUUUAGGAGCAUCUGAGACCCCAACUGAGGCGGGACUCGGCCCCUGCCCUAUGGCACUCACACUCCUUGGACAUGCCCACUUCAAAGCACUUCUGCAGUCGGCAGUACUGGCAGCGGUUCCGGGUCACCUUGUUGAUGAUGCAGUUCUUGUCCCGGUGACACGUGUACACCAUGUUCUUCUGGAUGCUGCGGCGGAAGAAGCCCUGGGUAUGGAGGGGAGGGAGUCAGGUUGUCCACACCCACAGUGGGAGCAGUGCCUGGCUACGGUCUCAGUCUAGGGGAGGAGGGCCAGGCCAGCUGCUGCCCCCAAGCGUUUGCCCAUCGCCUACCUGAGCAGGCCAGAAAAGCUGGGGAGAAUGAUUCACCUAAAAGGAUCCUCCUCAGGAGAAUCCCAGUACCUGCCUCAACACUGCAGGAUGGGCAGGAGUCUUCCCCCAACCCACAGCACACACCUGACUCCUCCCUUCCAGGGAAAAGACCUCAGGGCUGCUGGUGAGUCAGAAAUAGGAAGACAUGGGGCUAACUGGGCAACAGCCAGGGAUCUGGAACCCACACCCCUGAACUCAGAACACAGGAAAAGAAGACAAGCCCGAAGAGGCCAGGAGGCAGAUACACGGGCUGGCCAGAGAAAUGGAGGCGAACACACACAUGCACUCAGGAGCAAGGCAGAAAGAUGUGAGUUCACCAAGACAGGUGUGCACCGACCCAUCACAGACACAGACCCAGGCUGGCCAGGGGCUCCACAUACAGGCUGACCAGAGGGACAGGCGGACAGAGGAAGAACAGACCAGGAACAACCAGACAGGACAGGCAGACACACAGCCUGAGUCCUUGUGCUUUGCCCUUGACCUCCGUCCCACAUCUGGGGAUAGCUACUCCAGGCUGAAGAGCAGCCCAGAGCUGCAAGGCCCAAAGCUGUGAAGAUUCUGAGCCCCAAUCUCUGGAGGAAGAAACGCACACAGAGGCUCAGGCCCCAGGGAAAGGAGGAGAAGCCGGGCGCAGGGCUGCUAAGGACCAGGUAUACCUGCACCCUGGCACCUAACGUGAGGAUGGGGAAAUCCAGCCAGACACUGGGGAGCCCACAGCCCGGGCACCUGAAGGGGAAGCUAAGGCAGGGUGCCUGCUCCUAACUGCCUCCUGCCAGGCUGCCAUGGUGAGGUUCAGGCAGGGCCGCCGGGGGAGGCCUCCUGGGUCCCCAGCCAAGAGCCAGUCGGCAGCCAGCUCACCAUGGCAACCUGGGCAGCGGUGGCAGAGCAGGCGUACGCCCUGCCAGCUGGAGGAUAGAGACAGGGAAAGGAGCUGAGGCAGGAGGGGACCUCUGGUUUGAGGGAGCCCUGCACAUUUAUGGGGGAGGACCUGUGGGGAAACUGUGGUAGGUGUCCCUGCUUGCUGCCAACUUCCACAGAGAAAGAAGAGCAGCAACUUCAGGGACACCCCCCAACUGCACACUCCCAGGACACAGAAGUGGGGACAUCCCAUUGACCUCAUCAAGCUGUCCUUCCCAAUGACCCCUUCAACUCACCUUGCAGCCCUCACAGGCGCUGACCCCAUAGUGGUAGCCUGAGGACUUGUCCUGACAGACAAAGCAAGGCUUGUAGAUGCGGGGUAGAGGGGGUGGCGAGGGAGGGCUGGGCACUAUCUCUUCAGAACUGCUGCUCUGGGUCUCAAUGGCUAGAGAGAGAAGAGGGGAGGGGCAGUUAGAGACCUAGGUCGCCAUCCUUAGUACCAAGCUCCACCCUGCCUCACCGUCCCUCCUAAGAGCCUCUCCCAGCCUCACCACUGCUGGCAGGAUUCAAGUCUUAAGAAAACUGGGACUCCCCAGCCAGACUCAGGGCAGGAGGCUGCCAAUGAAGCCUCCAGCACCCCAUCACUCCUCUGGACUCCUAGGACCCCCACCUUCAAAACCACAAAGAUACAAUGAUAAACCAUCACAUUUGU
rnacentral:lncRNA from 1 species